ACAGUGGCGGACGGGUGAGUAAUGUCUGGGAAACUGCCUGAUGGAGGGGGAUAACUACUGGAAACGGUAGCUAAUACCGCAUAACGUCGCAAGACCAAAGAGGGGGACCUUCGGGCCUCUUGCCAUCGGAUGUGCCCAGAUGGGAUUAGCUAGUAGGUGGGGUAACGGCUCACCUAGGCGACGAUCCCUAGCUGGUCUGAGAGGAUGACCAGCCACACUGGAACUGAGACACGGUCCAGACUCCUACGGGAGGCAGCAGUGGGGAAUAUUGCACAAUGGGCGCAAGCCUGAUGCAGCCAUGCCGCGUGUAUGAAGAANGCCUUCGGGUUGUAAAGUACUUUCAGCGGGGAGGAAGCGGAUGAGUUAUAACCUCAGCAAUUGACGUUACCCGCAAAAGAAGCACCGGCUAACUCCGUGCCAGCAGCCGCGGUAAUACGGAGGGUGCAAGCGUUAAUCGGAAUUACUGGGCGUAAAGCGCACGCAGGCGGUCUGUCAAGUCGGAUGUGAAAUCCCCGGGCUCAACCUGGGAACUGCAUUCGAAACUGGCAGGCUAGAGUCUUGUAGAGGGGGGUAGAAUUCCAGGUGUAGCGGUGAAAUGCGUAGAGAUCUGGAGGAAU
rnacentral:rRNA from 1 species